CCUACGGGAGGCAGCAGUGAGGAAUAUUGGUCAAUGGACGAGAGUCUGAACCAGCCAAGUAGCGUGAAGGAUGACUGCCCUAUGGGUUGUAAACUUCUUUUAUAUGGGAAUAAAACGUUCCACGUGUGGGAUUUUGUAUGUACCAUAUGAAUAAGGAUCGGCUAACUCCGUGCCAGCAGCCGCGGUAAUACGGAGGAUCCGAGCGUUAUCCGGAUUUAUUGGGUUUAAAGGGCGCGUAGGUGGAUUGUUAAGUCAGUUGUGAAAGUUUGCGGCUCAACCGUAAAAUUGCAGUUGAAACUGGCAGUCUUGAGUACAGUAGAGGUGGGCGGAAUGCGUGGUGUAGCGGUGAAAUGCUUAGAUAUCACGAAGAACUCCGAUUGCGAAGGCAGUUCACUGGACUGCAACCGACACUGAGGCUCGAAAGUGUGGGUAUCAAACAGGAUUAGAUACCCCUGUAGUC
rnacentral:rRNA from 1 species